CAGCCGCCGCGGUAACACGGAGGGGGCUAGCGUUGUUCGGAAUUACUGGGCGUAAAGCGCACGUAGGCGGCUUGGUAAGUUAGAGGUGAAAGCCCGGAGCUCAACUCCGGAAUUGCCUUUAAGACUGCCGAGCUAGCAGGUGAGAGAGGUAAGUGGAAUUCCGAGUGUAGCAGUGAAAUGCGUAGAUAUGCGGAGGAACACCGAUGGCGAAGGCAAUCCCCUGGGCCUGUACUGACGCUCAUGCACGAAAGCGUGGGGAGCAAACAGGAUUAGAUACCCCAGUAGUCCCUGUCUCUUAUAC
rnacentral:rRNA from 1 species